rnacentral:lncRNA from 8 species
AUGCCCACAACGUUCAGGCCCUACCCAUACCCACAACAUUCAGGCCCUACCCAUGCCCACAACAUUCAGGCCCUACCCAUUCAGGGCCCUACCCAUGCCCACAACAUUCAGGCCCUACCCACUCAGGCCCUACCCACGCCCACAACAUUCAGGCCCUACCCAUUCAGGCCCUACCCAUGCCCACAACGUUCAGGCCCUACCCAUGCCCACAACAUUCAGGCCCUACCCAUGCCCACAACAUUCAGGCCCUACCCAUUCAGGCCCUACCCAUGCCCACAACAUUCAGGCCCUACCCACUCAGGCCCUACACAUGCCCACAACAUUCAGGCCCUACCCAUUCAGGCCCUACCCAUGCCCACAACAUUCAGGCCCUACCCAUUCAGGCCCUACCCACGCCCACUACAUUCGGGCCCUACCCACGCCCACAACAUUCGGGCCCUACCCACACCCACAACAUUCGGGCACCACCCAUUCAGGCCCUACCCAUGCCCACAACAUUCAGGCCCUACCCAUUCAGGCCCUACCCAUGCCCACAACAUUCAGGCCCUACCCAUUCAGGCACUACCCAUGCCCACAACAUUCAGGCCCUACCCACUCAGGCCCUACCCAUGCCCACAACAUUCGGCCCCUACCCAUGACCACUACAUUCGGGCCCAACCCAUGCCCACAACAUUCGGGCCCUACCCAUGCCCACAACAUUCGGGCCCUACCCAUGCCCACAACAUUCGGGCCCUACCCAUGCCCACAACAUUCGGGCCCUACCCAUGCCCACAACAUUCGGGCCCUACCCAUGCCCACUACAUUUGGGCCCUACCCAUGCCCACUACAUUCGGGCCCUACCCAUGCCCACUACAUUCGGGCCCUACCCACUACAUUCGGGCCCUACCCACUACAUUCGGGUCCUACCCACACCCACUACAUUCGGGCCCUACCCACGCCCACUACAUUCGGGCCCUACCCACGCCCACAACAUUCAGGCCCUGCCCACACCCACAACAUUCGGGCACUACCCAUUCAGGCCCUACCCAUGCCCACAACAUUCAGGCCCUACCCAUUCAGGCCCUACCCAUGCCCACAACAUUCAGGCCCUACCCACUCAGGCCCUACCCAUGCCCACACCAUUCAGGCCCUACCCAUUCAGGCCCUACCCAUGCCCACAACAUUCGGCCCCUACCCAUGACCACUACAUUCGGGCCCAACCCACGCCCACUACAUUCGGGCCCUACCCAGGCCCACUACAUUCGGGCCCUACCCACGCCCACUACAUUCGGGCCCUACCCACGCCCACUACAUUCGGGCCCUACCCACGCCCACAACAUU